rnacentral:rRNA from 1 species
GAUGAACGCUAGCGGGAGGCUUAACACAUGCAAGUCGAGGGGCAGCAUAGGGUAGCAAUACUCUGAUGGCGACCGGCGCACGGGUGAGUAACGCGUAUGCAACCUACCCUUUACCGGGGGAUAGCUCGGAGAAAUCCGGAUUAAUACCCCAUGACAUUCCGGGGGCGCAUGUUUCCGGGAUUAAAACUACGGUGGUAAAGGAUGGGCAUGCGUAACAUUAGCUAGUUGGUGAGGUAACGGCUCACCAAGGCUACGAUGUUUAGGGGACCUGAGAGGGUGAUCCCCC